rnacentral:rRNA from 1 species
CUACGGGCCGCACCAGUGGGGAAUAUUGCACAAUGGAGGAAACUCUGAUGCAGCAACGCCGCGUGGAGGAUGACACUUUUCGGAGCGUAAACUCCUUUUAUAUAGGAAGAAGAUGACGGUACUAUAUGAAUAAGCGCCGGCUAACUCCGUGCCAGCAGCCGCAGGUAAUACGGAGGGCGCAAGCGUUACUCGGAAUCACUGGGCGUAAAGAGCGUGUAGGCGGAUUAAAAAGUCAGAAGUGAAAUCCUAUAGCUUAACUAUAGAACUGCUUCUGAAACUCUUAAUCUAGAAUAUGGGAGAGGUAGAUGGAAUUUCUGGUGUAGGGGUAAAAUCCGUAGAGAUCAGAAGGAAUACCGAUUGCGAAGGCGAUCUACUAGAACAUUAUUGACGCUGAGACGCGAAAGCGUGAGGAGCAAACAGGAUUAGAUACCCCGGUAGUC